rnacentral:rRNA from 1 species
CUGCAUGGCUGUCGUCAGCUCGUGUCGUGUAGAUGUUGGGUUAAGUCCGUAACGAGCGCAACCCUUGUCCUUAGUUACCAGCACGUUAUGGUGGGCACUCUAAGGAGACUGCCGGUGACAAACCGGAGGAAGGUGGGGAUGACGUCAAGUCAUCAUGGCCCUUACGGCCUGGGCUACACACGUGCUACAAUGGUCGGUACAAAGGGUUGCCAAGCCGCGAGGUGGAGCUAAUCCCAUAAAACCGAUCGUAGUCCGGAUCGCAGUCUGCAACUCGACUGCGUGAAGUCGGAAUCGCUAGUAAUCGUGAAUCAGAAUGUCACGGUGAAUACGUUCCCGGGCCUU